rnacentral:pre_miRNA from 1 species
UACCACUGGAUGGCGAUAGUAGGUGAUGGUGUAGCUCCGAUGGUAG